ensembl:processed_transcript
ACAGAAGAAGAGCGUCGCCUGGAAACUGGCUGAAGCUUGAGGAUGUUCAACAGAUAUGCAGCUAUGUAGCUGCAGCGUGACCUAUGUCGUCCUUUUGAACUCGCUGGUUCACAGAAGAGGUUUAACGUUAGAGUAAGUUACGGACACAAGUCACUUACAGUGUAAAUAAACAUGAUUUACCUUUUUUCCUCUUGUGAAAUGUUUACGUAAAUGUCCUAAGUUUGACUUGUGGUGUCAUAAUAAGUGUAUGUGAUGUGGUAUGUGUGAGCGUGUAC